rnacentral:sRNA from 12 species
GGCUCCAACAUCCCCGCAGGCUGGGCGCUGAAUCGGACCUGAUUCCCCGACGACGCGCAGUGAGUCUGCUGUAGCC